rnacentral:rRNA from 1 species
GAAUUGACGGGGGCCCGCACAAGCGGUGGAGCAUGUGGUUUAAUUCGACGCAACGCGAAGAACCUUACCUGGGCUCGAACGGCUGCAGACCGUGGUAGAAAUACCAUUUUCCCGCAAGGGACUGUAGUCGAGGUGCUGCAUGGCUGUCGUCAGCUCGUGUCGUGAGAUGUUGGGUUAAGUCCCGCAACGAGCGCAACCCUUGUCCUGUGUUGCCAUCAUUUAGUUGGGCACUCUCAGGAGACCGCCAGCGAUAAGUUGGAGGAAGGUGGGGAUGACGUCAAGUCAUCAUGGCCUUUGUGUCCAGGGCUACACACGUGCUACAAUGGACGGUACAACACGUUGCAAACCCGCGAGGGGGAGCCAAUCGUAAAAAACCGUUCUCAGUUCGGAUUGCAGGCUGCAACUCGCCUGCAUGAAGCUGGAAUCGCUAGUAAUGGCAUAUCAGAAUGAUGCCGUGAAUACGUUCCCGGGCCUUGUACACACCGCCAU